UACGUAGGGUGCAGGCGUUAAUCGGAAUUACUGGGCGUAAAGCGUGCGCAGGCGGUUUCUUAAGUCAGAUGUGAAAGCCCCGGGCUCAGCCCGGGAAGUGCGCUCGAAACUGCGCGGCUCGAGUGCCGGAGGGGAGAGUGGAAUUCCUGGUGUAGCGGUGAAAUGCGUAGAUAUCAGGAGGAAUACCGGUGGCGAAAGCGACUCUCUGGACGGCAACUGACGCUGAGGCACGAAAGCGUGGGGAGCAAACAGG
rnacentral:rRNA from 1 species